rnacentral:rRNA from 1 species
ACGCUGGCGGCACGCCUAACACAUGCAAGUCGAACGAAGUAGCAAUACUUAGUGGCAGACGGGUGAGUAGCAUGUAGGUAUCUGCCCUUUGGCCUGGAAUAACACGAGGAAACUUGUGCUAAUACCGGAUAAGUCUUUACGGAGAAAGCUUUAUGCACCAUUGGAUGAGCCUGCACUUGAUUAGUUUGUUGGUGGGGUAAUGGCCUACCAAGACUGUGAUCAAUAGCUGAUUUGAGAGGAUGAUCAGCCACAUUGGGACUGAGACACGGCCCAAACUCCUACGGGAGGCAGCAGUGGGGAAUCUUGCACAAUGGAGGAAACUCUGAUGCAGCGAUGCCGCGUGAGUGAAGAAGGCCCUUGGGUUGUAAAGCUCUUUCGUCGGGGAAGAAAAUGACUGUACCCGAAUAAGAAGGUCUGGCUAACUUCGUGCCAGCAGCCGCGGUAAUACGAAGGGACCUAGCGUAGUUCGGAAUUACUGGGCUUAAAGAGUUCGUAGGUGGUUGAAAAAGUUAGUGGUGAAAUCCCAGAGCUUAACUCUGGAACUGCCAUUAAAACUUUUCAGCUAGAGUAUGAUAGAGGAAAGCAGAAUUCCUAGUGUAGAGGUGAAAUUCGUAGAUAUUAGAAAGAAUACCAAUUGCGAAGGCAGCUUUCUGGAUCAUUACUGACACUGAGGAACGAAAGCAUGGGUAGCGAAGAGGAUUAGAUACCCUCGUAGUCCAUGCCGUAAACGAUGUGUGUUAGACGUUGGAAAUUUAUUUUCAGUGUCGCAGGGAAACCGAUAAGCACACCGCCUGGGGAGUACGACCGCAAGGUUAAAACUCAAAUGAAUUGACGGGGACCCGCACAAGUAGUGGAGCAUGUGGUUUAAUUCGAAGAUACGCGCAGAACCUUACCAACACUUGACAUGUUCGUCGCGACUCUAAGAGAUUAGAGUUUUCGGUUCGGCCGGACGAAACACAGGUGCUGCAUGGCUGUCGUCAGCUCGUGUCGUGAGAUGUUGGGUUAAGCCCCGCAACGAGCGCAACCCUCACUUUUAGUUGCCAUCAUUAAGUCGGGCACUCUGAAAGAACUGCCAGUGAUAAGCUGGAGGAAGGUGGGGAUGACGUCAAGUCCUCAUGGCCCUUACAUGUUGGGCUACACACGUGCUACAAUGGUAUCUACAACAGGAAGCAAAACUGCGAAGUUAAGCAAAUCCCUAAAAGAUACCUCAGUUCGGAUUGCACUCUGCAACUCGAGUGCAUGAAGCUGGAAUUACUAGUAAUCGUGGAUCAGCGUGCCACGGUGAAUGCGUUCCCGGGUCUUGUACACACCGCC